rnacentral:rRNA from 1 species
GUGAGGAAUUUUCCGCAAUGGGCGAAAGCCUGACGGAGCAAUGCCGCGUGAAGGAUGAAGGCCUAUGGGUUGUAAACUUCUUUUCUCAGAAAAGAAUUAUGACGGUAUCUGAGGAAUAAGCAUCGGCUAACUCUGUGCCAGCAGCCGCGGUAAGACAGAGGAUGCAAGCGUUAUCCGGAAUGAUUGGGCGUAAAGCGUCUGUAGGUUGUUUAAAAAGUAUUCUGUCAAAGAUUAGGGCUUAACCCUAGAUAGGCAGAAUAAACUUUUAAGCUAGAGUUUGGUAGAGGCAGAGGGAAUUCCCGGUGGAGCGGUGAAAUGCGUAGAUAUCGGGAGGAACACCAAAGGCGAAGGCACUCUGCUGGGCCAAUACUAACACUGAGAGACGAAAGCGAGGGGAGCAAAUGGGAUUAGAUACCCCGGUAGUCCC